GGGACAGUGUAUGGUGGGUAGUUUGACUGGGGCGGUCGCCUCCCAAAGAGUAACGGAGGCGCGCGAAGGUUGGCUCAGAGCGGUCGGAAAUCGCUCGUUGAGUGCAAUGGCAGAAGCCAGCCUGACUGCGAGACUGACAAGUCGAGCAGAGUCGAAAGACGGCCAUAGUGAUCCGGUGGUCCCUCGUGGAAGGGCCAUCGCUCAACGGAUAAAAGGUACGCCGGGGAUAACAGGCUGAUGAUGCCCAAGAGUCCAUAUCGACGGCAUUGUUUGGCACCUCGAUGUCGACUCAUCACAUCCUGGGGCUGGAGCAGGUCCCAAGGGUUUGGCUGUUCGCCAAUUAAAGCGGUACGUGAGCUGGGUUUAGAACGUCGUGAGACAGUUCGGU
rnacentral:rRNA from 1 species